GUGUGUCGCGACGGCGGAGCGCCUGGUUGUCUCGUGGCUUUUUUAUUGUCCGCGCGACUGACGCCUUGGUUACGCAGCGGCGGCUGCACGCAGCGACCGUUGUAAGCUAGGACCCCGGACAUCCCCGGACUGUAUCAUAGCCGUCCUCCGUCAUCGGAGUUUCACAAAAAUCUCCUUCUUCUCCCCCCAGCAAAACCCCCUUUCCAUUUUAUUUUUAUUUUUCAUUCUCAAUGAACCCGUGAGGCGUUUCUUGCUUUGAAGACCCGACGUCCGAGCACCGAGUCAGACGGCAUCGAUCGUGCCUCUUCGGUGGGAACAAAAAAGGAAAGCAAAACGUGACUGUGUAUAUAUAAUGUGCGGCGGCGGAAGGACACAGCGCAGACAUGAAGAGUGCAGCGUCGGAGACGGACAGCAACCCCCGUCCCAUGCGCGAUGGAAAACUGUACCCUUCAAGGCAGCCAACCACAAGCCCAUCGUGGUUCCGGCCUCUGAACGACUAACAACGUGGACUCCGCGGCUCCUCGCAUAAACCAGCUUGAACAGCUGGUGAAGCUAAGAAAAAACGGUUGGGGGCAACGGCACGUGACGUCACCCAAGACUUUCUGGAUGAAGAAAACAGGCAUAAAAGCAGCAAUGACGGCCGGUGCGAACAAGGCGUUAAGUGGCAUCUUCGCACCAGUGAGUUAUAGUUCUCGUUCUAGUAAACUGUUCUUGUUAGUAAAAAAGCAAGAUAUGGCACCAUUAAGCUUAUUGCAUAAAUGUCAUACAGCACAAAAUGUACAGCAACAAGGCAUCAGUGCCGCUUGAAUGAGGUAAUAGAGGACACUUCUCUACAAGUAAAGUACUCCAUACUACAUCCUUAAACACGAAUCUGUUUAUUUGCUAUAUAGCCCGAAAUCAACUCGCACGUUGAUGUUCUGCAUUGUUGAAGCCGUGCUUGACAAUGUUAGUGAUGUGGUGCUCUACGUAAUCGAAUAGGACUUACCAAGCACCAAUGUUCCAUCCGCUGUGCUCUAGGGCCUCUAAACUGUCUCCUUUUUCUUCCCCCCUUUUGUUUUCUAGUCUUUUGGACGUUCGCUUGGGCGACGAACUCUGUAAGAACUAUUUCGUCCACAUUAGUUGAAGCGAUGCCCCCCUCCCCCUUUUAUUUUGCUUCAUUUUAUUCUUUCGAUUCUUCUCCCGUUCCUUAUAAGGGCUUUCCAGUCGCUCGUCCCUUAGAACGACAGGAAAUUAAGCUAUAGUUACCAGGGAUUCGUCAGGAAAGAAUUGGUAACGCGUGCGGACACGAGACAGAAGAGAAGCAGGCAACACAAACACCGUCCCUUUGUUCAUGCAUGAGUAUAGCAUGUUGGCGAC
rnacentral:lncRNA from 1 species